UUAGUUCAUCGAAUUUCAAUUCAGUGGAACCAGAGCGAAUCUUUGCUCCUGAAACUUAACCAGACAAACAUUCAACUCUCACCAUGAAUAACUUAUCAUUCGUUUGCGGAACCUUGCUCAUCGGCAUCAUAUCGGCCAAUCUCAACCCAGUUUAUGGCCAGGACCCAUCAGACAAUAACCCCUCUCUAAGCUGUGUUCUUUUCAAAGAACUCGGUUGCGACGUUCAAUGCACAUUCAUGGCAAAACUGCAAAACUCCCCUCAAACUUUAGCAUCCUGCAACGAUGAACAAAAAUGCACCUGUACAGCCGAACCUGAAUCCCUUGACACCUUAUGGAAUAAGAAAUUCGAUGCGGAUGAUGUGCUCAGACAAAUCAAAGUAAAUAGAAAACUUGCCGAAAAAGUUACUCAAGUAUUAUAAAAUGCAUCACGAACUGCCGAGCAAUCUAAGCAAGACCUCGAGGAAAUUCUACCAAAACGCCUGCUUAGCAAAAUUUUGGUUAAACAUAAUACGAGUACAGCCGAACCAGAAUCUCUGGACGACUUGUGGAAUAAGAAAUUCGAUGCGGAUGAUGUGCUGAGACAAAUCAAAGUGAAUAGAAAACUUGCCCAAAAAGUUACUCAAGUAUUAAAAAAUGCAUCUCGAACUGCCGAGCAAUCUAAGCAAGACCUAGAGGAAAUUCUACCAAAACGCCUGCUCAGCAAAAUUUGGGUUGUUAAACAAUAUGAUACGAGUACAACCGAAGCGGAUGUAGAAUCUAUAAAGAAACUUGUCAACAAAGAACUGUCAUCGGUACUGUCAAAUUCUCCUGAAUUCGACUCCACCAAUCUGAAAUGCUUGCAUUGGGUGCAUAAUUUCUUCGUAUACUUGAAUGCUCAUAAACAAAGUGCCAGCAUCCAAAGCAUUUAUCAUCAAGUUGAUCUAACUGGUAAUGAACUUUUGAAAGAAAAACUUGGGUUCUUUUUGAAGAAGAAUGACGCUCCAAAGAUAGAUACAACGAUAAAGUACGAACAGGAUAAUACUGUUUCUCAAAUUGUCGCCAACAUGGUGGUUGAUGGAAUGAUCAAGGAACUCGGUAUUCCCAAGUGUUUCGUCAGGUCCUAAUAAAUAUAUUUUUUGAUACCAGCAUCGAUUAAUGUUUUACCUUAUCAUACAAUUAUUUUUUAGAUAGCCUUAUGCCAGCAUGAAAAUUUAAAAUAAAAUCACUUCGUAGCAUUG